rnacentral:rRNA from 1 species
GAGUUUGAUCCUGGCUCAGAAUGAACGCUGGCGGCGUGCCUAACACAUGCAAGUCGAACGAGAAAAGCCUUCGGGCUUAGUAAAGUGGCGAACGGGUGAGCAAUACAUAGGAAUCUACCUUUUAGUAGAGAAUACCUCCGAGAAAUCGGGGCUAAUACUGUAUAACCCCUGUGAUGAACAGGGCAAAGGCGGCCUCUUGCUGUCGCUAAAAGAUGAGCCUAUGUCCUAUUAGUUAGUUGGCGUGGUAAUAGCACACCAAGACGAAGAUGGGUAACCGACCUGAGAGGGUGAUCGGUCACACUGGAACUGAGACACGGUCCAGACUCCUACGGGAGGCAGCAGUGGGGAAUAUUGCACAAUGGGCGAAAGCCUGAUGCAGCGACGCCGCGUGGAGGAUGAAGGUCUUCGGAUUGUAAACUCCUGUUAAGUGGGAAAAAAGACUUCUGGCUAAUAUCCAGAGGGGAUGAUGGUACCACUAGAGAAAACACCGGCAAACCUCGUGCCAGCAGCCGCGGUAAGACGAGGGGUGCAAGCGUUAUUCGGAAUUACUGGGCGUAAAGAGCGUGAAGACGGUUUUUUAAGUUAACUGUUAAAUCACCCGGCUUAACCGGGUAUCAGCAGUUGAAACUGGGAGACUAGAGCUUAGAAGAGAGAAGUGGAAUUCUCGGAGUAGCGGUAAAAUGCGUAGAUCUCGAGAGGAACACCAGUGGUGAAGACGGCUUCUUGGUCUAUAGCUGACGUUCAAGCGCGAAAGCGUGGGGAGCAAACAGGAUUA